rnacentral:lncRNA from 1 species
UUCUAUAUUCGGGAUGGCAGGGCGCCGGCACGAUGGAACAGGUCCAUAGGGAGCCACAAACCCUGGACAUUGGAUUCACCAUUACUAGUCAAUGAACCCAUGCUCCCGCACGAGCUAAUGUUUUUAGAAGCUAUUGUAUUUAAAAAUUAUAUAGAAAUUAAACUCCUAGCUAAUAAUCAAAAUUGUUUAUCUACUACUCUCUUAUUUUUCAAUACUUCAACAUAAUACUUAUAUAGAUAUGUACCUAUCUUUGUCCAGUUGCGAUUGAUUUUUAAUUAAUAAUUACUCUGCACUUUUUCAUCCAUAUUCAUAUUUUUUCCAUUUUGUAUCACACCUCCCAUCCU